AGCUCCAAUAGCGUAUAUUAAAGUUGCUGCAGUUAAAAAGCUCGUAGUUGCAUUUCCGAGGCAAGGGAUUAGUCCGACCUUUGGUGGGUAUUUAAUCCUCUUGCCUCGUCCUUGAGUGGUGCUUCUUGGUAUUAAGUUAUCGAGGAGAUAGCCGCUCAUCGUUUACUGUGAGAAAAUUAGAGUGUUCAAAGCAGGCUUAUGCCGUUGAAUAUAUUAGCAUGGAAUAAUAAGAGAGGACCUCGGGACUAUUUUGUUGGUUUGAGAACCAAGGUAAUGAUGAAUAGGGACAGUUGGGGGUAUUCGUAUUCAGUUGUCAGAGGUGAAAUUCUUAGAUUUACGGAAGACGAACUACUGCGAAAGCAUUUACCAAGGAUGUUUUCA
rnacentral:rRNA from 1 species